GCAAAGAAGGUCAUGGAUCCGUCGCCCUGUGGUCAACAUUCGAGAGGACGGUCGUAAGAACAUGCCAAGGUCGGGGACGGUGAUCUCAGCCGAUCAAUUCGAUACCAGAGUGAAUCACCCGAUGGUCACGGGAGGCCAUCUAGUUUUUUAACGGAGUCUGUAGCAGUCGCGGAGACGGUGGCCGGCAAAAUCUGGCCCAACGCGAACAGAGGGAUUUUGAUUAGCAGCGUCUCCGAGCUUCUUGUAGACUCAGCAACAUCAACGGAAUCGGCACCAGUCACGAUUCCUACAACGACGACAUGCAACAUUACCAGGAACGUUCCGCCACCAAGAUCAAGAAGAAAGAUAAAAAAAUGCCUCGGCGGCCUAAAGAUUAUAUGCUGACCCUGUACAAAACUAAAUUUGGCUAUCUGGCCGAUAACUUUCGGAUGACAGUGCGAGUUUCACGAAUCGCCACACAUAAACGUUUUUCUCAACCAGAAUGAUCCAAACCAGCAUGUGGCCACAAAGCGGUCCCAGGCCGAACUAGAGAUGAAGGUGAAGAUUCCGGCGGCGUUCUAAACUGGGCGAAACACUCCUCCUUCUCCUGAAUAAUUUGACAACAUCUAGAUCAACGUGGGACUCUCGGGAGCGACCAGCAAGACCACCUCGGAUGUGGCGUAGUUGUCGUUGGCAGCGGAAUCAGUGCCACUGAAGGACAGCUCAAUAAUUCCGGGCAACAUUCACCGGAACAACGUCCGGCAAUUUCAUGAACCGAGAACCAGAAUCACAUCGAAAAUCUCCAGAACCACUUCAACAACUGGAUUAUGAAAACGAAACCGGUAGGCAACCAAGCUGUCUCAGGCCACCAACCGUGCGCUGAUGCUAUCGUUUGUGUAUCGCGGAGGAAGUUCCAGAUCGCUGCAGCCAACGUGGGACGGUCCAAGAUCGUACGACGACCGAGACAAUCGGCAGAAGGCGGAAGAGUAGGCGAUCGCGAGCCUCGCGGACAAAUGCAACCUCCAAGGUUGGCCAACCAGCAGCAGCGAAACCUACACCGGGAUCACGGCGGUCAUUGGCGUGACUCUUCGUCGGCGGUGGCUCCGUUCAUGAAUCCGGAGAUUGUCGUUCAGAGGCCCAUCAUCCAGCGCACGAGGCAUCGAGGCUAUCACCAAGAACGACGAGUUUGAUUUCAACUAGAAUUUAAAGUUUUCGGAUGACGAGUCCCGCCGAAGUCGCGCCAACAACAGUAACAACUUCACAACCGGGAAGAGGACAAGCGCAUGGAUUAAAGUCGCGAAGACGCGAGCAGGACCGACUGGAGCAGGAUCAACGCGAACGCGAACGCCAAGAGCGUGAAUCGGUGGCCACGUCGGCGUCGGAAGUCGUUGAAACUGGACGCCGAGGACGAGGAACGUCUCAAAUUGCAUCCUCCCCGCGAUGAGAGGAACGCGAGCAGGCCGCGGCCAUGAAGCUGCAGCAACUGGAGCAGAAGCUGAAGAGUUGAAGGCAAAGGACCGGGUCACCGGUCAAGAACGGCCAUAAGGAUCAGCAGAACGAGCUUCCAAACUGAUCUACCGUCGUGUUUCAAUAAGAGUAAACUAGAGCGAAAUCUUUCCGGAACAUUUUGCACGGAAGUCAACCGCAGGGUAGUUGAAUCGACGAGUUUCAGAUAUGUGGCAACGAGAACGACCAUUUCGAGCCAUUGCAAGCACCAUCAGCCGUAACAGCAGCAGCAGAUCAUCUUCGGAUCUUGAGAGUGAAACGGAAAAGGUGAACCGUCGACUGGCGGAGGCGGCCAUUGUGUUGGCCAAGGAAACCCAGAGGCAGCAGUUCCAGCAGUAACACGAUUCGCGUUGAUUUGGAGAGCGAGCGAAACUCCGGGAAAGCUGGAGUCGUCGAGAUGGAAGAGCAGAAGCCCAGAGAACCUGCUUGGCUGCUGUCGAAGCCUUGGGAAGAUUUGGUAGAAGCUGCGAAGGAAGCCAGCAAGUCACUUGACGUGAGCGCAACCUCGUUGGAUGCGAUGGCGCAUGAAAAGGACGCUUCCGGAUCGGAUGAUGGCAGGAACGACAAUGGCAGGGUGUCUGCAGACCGUUUUGAAGGACCAGAUCAAUCGUAACCGGUUCACGUUCCUGGCGCAUUCCCCCUGCUGCAAUCUGGGAAUGCCACUCGGGGCGGCCAUGGCCUUGUAAGAAACGACGAAAGCAACGCUGCACAGAAGUGGCCCCUGCCCUGCAAGUGCCCUGGAAACAACGGUGCUAUCAGACCGAUGGGUGAAAUGUUGCACGAUCCGUCCCCGGAAUCGGUCCCCAUUUGCCUGAAGUUUUUCUCUCCUUCCUUACAGUUCAAUUCGAGCUUAAAACUAUGGAAAAUA